AACGAACGCUGGCGGCAUGCCUAACACAUGCAAGUCGAACGAGGCCUUCGGGUCUAGUGGCGCACGGGUGCGUAACGCGUGGGAACCUGCCCUUAGGUUCGGAAUAACUCCCCGAAAGGGGUUCUAAUACCGGAUAAUGUCUUCGGACCAAAGAUUUAUCGCCUUUGGAUGGGCCCGCGUUGGAUUAGCUAGUUGGUAGGGUAAAAGCCUACCAAGGCGACGAUCCAUAGCUGGUCUGAGAGGAUGAUCAGCCACACUGGGACUGAGACACGGCCCAGACUCCUACGGGAGGCAGCAGUGGGGAAUAUUGGACAAUGGGCGAAAGCCUGAUCCAGCAAUGCCGCGUGAGUGAUGAAGGCCUUAGGGUUGUAAAGCUCUUUUACCCGGGAUGAUAAUGACAGUACCGGGAGAAUAAGCUCCGGCUAACUCCGUG
rnacentral:rRNA from 1 species